GCGGCGGACGGGUGGAGUAACACGUGGGCAACCUGCCCUGCAGACUGGGAUAACUUCGGGAAACCGGAGCUAAUACCGGAUAACACCGAAAACCGCAUGGUUUUCGGUUGAAAGGCGGCUUUUAGCUGUCACUGCAGGAUGGGCCCGCGGCGCAUUAGCUAGUUGGUGAGGUAACGGCUCACCAAGGCGACGAUGCGUAGCCGACCUGAGAGGGUGACCGGCCACACUGGGACUGAGACACGGCCCAGACUCCUACGGGAGGCAGCAGUAGGGAAUCUUCCGCAAUGGACGAAAGUCUGACGGAGCAACGCCGCGUGAGCGAAGAAGGUCUUCGGAUCGUAAAGCUCUGUUGUCAGGGAAGAACAAGUGCCGUUCGAACAGGGCGGUACCUUGACGGUACCUGACGAGGAAGCCACGGCUAACUACGUGCCAGCAGCCGCGGUAAUAC
rnacentral:rRNA from 1 species